CGUCCAGUCGGCCCUCGGAUUUCAGCUUUUGGGAACGUCUGCUGGCGUAGUUCUGGGAUCCCUGGGACUCGCUCCGCGUCAGACCGGACUCCCGAGAGUGCACUUUCCGUGUUGGCAGAGCGUCACGACCGGUUCUGCGGCGGUGAUAAGGCCUUUGGGAAGAUAGGUCGUCGGUUCUUCGGGACCUUCGACUGUUAUAGCCCUUGGGAGAUGGCCGCUGUGGGACCGUGGAUCGACCUGUCGUAUGGCAGUGGGGCUUCUCGCGUGCGUUCGACUCGGGGGGACUGGUUCGCCGUGCUCCCGGACUGCGCUGCGUGGGCCAGCUCUGCGAUAGCCUGCGAUAUGUAAGGGUCAGUGACACACGAUCGGUAAUCCACCCGGCCCGUCUUGAAACACGGACCAAGAAGUCCAACAUGUGCGCGAGUCAUUGGGUCCUACGAAACCUAAAGGCGUAAUGAAGGUGAAGGCAGGUUCGGCCUGUCGAGGUGAGAUCCUCGUCCUCGGGCGGGGCGCAUCACCGGCCCGUCUGCAAAGGCGGAGCAAGAGCGCACACGUUGGGACCCGAAAGAUGGUGAACUAUGCCUGAGCAGGAUGAAGCCAGAGGAAACUCUGGUGGAAGUCCGUAGCGAUUCUGACGUGCAAAUCGAUCGUCGAACUUGGGUAUAGGGGCGAAAGACUAAUCGAACCAUCUAGUAGCUGGUUCCCUCCGAAGUUUCCCUCAGGAUAGCUGGCGCUCGUCAAGCAGUUUUAUCCGGUAAAGCGAAUGAUUAGAGGCCUUGGGGACGAAACGUCCUCAACCUAUUCUCAAACUUUAAAUGGGUAAGGAGUCGGACUCGCUCGAUUGGAGUCUGGACUGGAAUGCGAGUGCCAAGUGGGCCACUUUUGGUAAGCAGAACUGGCGCUGUGGGAUGAACCAAACGUCCGGUUAAGGCGCCUAACACUGACGCUAAUGAGAUACCAUAAAAGGUGUUGGUUGAUAUAGACAGCAGGACGGUGGCCAUGGAAGUCGGAACCCGCUAAGGAGUGGGUAACAACUCACCUGCCGAAUCAACCAGCCCUGAAAAUGGAUGGCGCUAGAGCGUCGGGCCUAUACCGGACCGUUGCGGCAAUAAAGAACCCCUCGGGGGAGUCACGCCGCAACGAGUAGGAGGGUCGCCGAGGUGAGCGUGGAAGCUUGGGGCGCGAGCCUGAGUGGAGCCGCCUCGGGUGCAGAUCUUGGUGGUAGUAGCAAAUAUUCAAACGAGAACUUUGAAGGCUGAAGUGGAGAAGGGUUCCAUGUGAACAGCACUUGAACAUGGGUCAGUCGGUCCUAAGACAUAGGAGAACUCCGUUCUGAAACGGGGGCCAUGAGCUUUGAGAAAUCGUGCUCGCCCUUCCUAUAGGUCGAAAGGGAAUCUGGUUAAUAUUCCAGAACCUGGCCACGGAGAUUGACCUCGCAAGGGGUCUCGUGCGGUAACGCAAACGAAGUCGGAGACGUCUGCGAGAGCCCCGGGAAGAGUUUUCUUUUCUUUGUAAGGGUCCCACUCCCUGGAAUCGACUUGCUUGGCGAUAGGGACCCGGGGAUUGCCCGUAAAGCACCGCGGCUCUUGCGGUGUCCGGUGCGCUCUCGACGACCCUUGAAAAUCCGACGGAGACGGUGUUAUUUUCGUGCCAGGCCGUACCCAUAUCCGCAUCAGUCUCCAAGUCACAGCCU
rnacentral:rRNA from 1 species